GAUGAACGCUAGCUACAGGCUUAACACAUGCAAGUCGCGGGGCAGCAUGGGGGUUGCUUGCAAUCCCCGAUGGCGACCGGCGCACGGGUGAGUAACGCGUAUUCAACCUGCCCUUCACCACGGGAUAACCCGGCGAAAGUCGGACUAAUACCGUAUGUUGUCCAUUGACGGCAUCCGAUUUGGACGAAAGGCUUGGCGGUGAGGGAUGGGGAUGCGUCCGAUUAGCCAGACGGCGGGGUAACGGCCCACCGUGGCUACGAUCGGUAGGGGUUCUGAGAGGACGGUCCCCCACACUGGAACUGAGACACGGUCCAGACUCCUACGGGAGGCAGCAGUGGGGAAUAUUGGGCAAUGGGCGUAAGCCUUAACCAGCCAAGUAGCGUGCAGGAUGACGGCCCUAUGGGUUGUAAACUGCUUUUAUGCUGGGAUAAAGUGGCCCCCGUGUGGGAUUUUGCAGGUACCGCAUGAAUAAGGACCGGCUAAUUCCGUG
rnacentral:rRNA from 1 species